rfam:Fistulina hepatica ATCC 64428 unplaced genomic scaffold FISHEscaffold_48, whole genome shotgun sequence.
GCCCUGCUAGCUCAGUGGUAGAGCGCGGCACUUGUAAUGCUGAGGUCAGUCGUUCAAACCGGCUGUGGGGCA